rnacentral:rRNA from 1 species
AAUAGAUACCCCGGUAGUCCAUGCCGUAAACGAUGGAUACUAGCUGUUUGUUCGCAAGGAUGAGUGGCUAAGCGAAAGUGAUAAGUAUCCCACCUGGGGAGUACGAACGCAAGUUUGAAACUCAAAGGAAUUGACGGGGGCCCGCACAAGCGGUGGAGCAUGUGGUUUAAUUCGAUGAUACGCGAGGAACCUUACCAGGGCUUAAAUGUAGUUUGACGUUAUUGGAAACAGUAAUUUCUUCGGACAAAUUACAAGGUGCUGCAUGGUUGUCGUCAGCUCGUGCCGUGAGGUGUCAGGUUAAGUCCUAUAACGAGCGCAGCCCCUGUUGUUAGUUGCCAGCGAGUCAUGUCGGGAACUCUAACAAGACUGCCAGUGUAAACUGCGAGGAAGGUGGGGAUGACGUCAAAUCAUCACGGCCCUUACGUCCUGGGCCACACACGUGCUACAAUGGACGGUACAGAGAGCAGCCACUUAGCAAUAAGGAGCGAAUCUAUAAAACCGUUCUCAGUUCGGAUCGGAGUCUGCAACUCGACUCCG